CCUACGGGAGGCAGCAGUGAGGAAUAUUGGUCAAUGGACGCAAGUCUGAACCAGCCAUGCCGCGUGCAGGAAGACGGCUCUAUGAGUUGUAAACUGCUUUUGUACGAGGGUAAACGGAGAUACGCGUAUCUGUCUGAAAGUACCGUACGAAUAAGGAUCGGCUAACUCCGUGCCAGCAGCCGCGGUAAUACGGAGGAUUCCAGCGUUAUCCGGAUUUAUUUGGUUUAAAGGGAGCGUAGGCGGGCGGUUAAGUGAGUGGGGAAAUCCCGCGGCUCAACGUCGGAAUUGCCUCUGAUACUGUUCGGCUAGAGUGUAGUUGCGGUAGGCGGAAUGUAUGGUGUAGCGGUGACAUGCUU
rnacentral:rRNA from 1 species